ACGAACGCUGGCGGCGUGCUUAACACAUGCAAGUCGAACGGAAAGGCCCUGCUUUUGUGGGGUGCUCGAGUGGCGAACGGGUGAGUAACACGUGAGUAACCUGCCCUUGACUUUGGGAUAACUCCAGGAAACUGGGGCUAAUACCGGAUAGGAGCUCCUGCUGCAUGGUGGGGGUUGGAAAGUUUCGGCGGUUGGGGAUGGACUCGCGGCUUAUCAGCUUGUUGGUGGGGUAGUGGCUUACCAAGGCUUUGACGGGUAGCCGGCCUGAGAGGGUGACCGGCCACAUUGGGACUGAGAUACGGCCCAGACUCCUACGGGAGGCAGCAGUGGGGAAUAUUGCACAAUGGGCGGAAGCCUGAUGCAGCAACGCCGCGUGCGGGAUGACGGCCUUCGGGUUGUAAACCGCUUUCGCCUGUGACGAAGCGUGAGUGACGGUAAUGGGUAAAGAAGCACCGGCUAACUACGUG
rnacentral:rRNA from 1 species